GAACGAACGCUGGCGGCAUGCCUAACACGUGCAAGUCGAACGAGACCUUCGGGUCUAGUGGCGCACGGGUGCGUAACGCGUGGGAACCUGCCCUUAGGUUCGGAAUAACUCCCCGAAAGGGGUGCUAAUACCGGAUAAUGUCUUCGGACCAAAGAUUUAUCGCCUUUGGAUGGGCCCGCGUUGGAUUAGCUAGUUGGUAGGGUAAAAGCCUACCAAGGCGACGAUCCAUAGCUGGUCUGAGAGGAUGAUCAGCCACACUGGGACUGAGACACGGCCCAGACUCCUACGGGAGGCAGCAGUGGGGAAUAUUGGACAAUGGGCGAAAGCCUGAUCCAGCAAUGCCGCGUGAGUGAUGAAGGCCUUAGGGUUGUAAAGCUCUUUUACCCGGGAUGAUAAUGACAGUACCGGGAGAAUAAGCUCCGGCUAACUCCGUG
rnacentral:rRNA from 1 species